rnacentral:misc_RNA from 1 species
AAGUCGUAACAAGGUUUCCGUAGGUGAACCUGCGGAAGGAUCAUUACAGUGUUAGGCUUCGGCCUCAUUCACACCCCUUGUGGAACCUCUGGUUUCUUUGGCGAUGUCAUGGACUCGUCAAACUUUAACUCUGGGAAUGCGAUACUGUCCGAGUGCAAUCGAAUGAUUAAAACUUUCAACAACGGAUCUCUUGGUUCCA